AGUGAACGCUGGCGGUAGGCCUAACACAUGCAAGUCGAACGGCAGCACAGUAAGAGCUUGCUCUUACGGGUGGCGAGUGGCGGACGGGUGAGGAAUACAUCGGAAUCUACUUUUUCGUGGGGGAUAACGUAGGGGAACUUACGCUAAUACCGCAUACGACCUACGGGUGAAAGCAGGGGAUCUUCGGACCUUACGCGAUUGAAUGAGCCGAUGUCGGAUUAGCUAGUUGGCGGGGUAAAGGCCCACCAAGGCGACGAUCCGUAGCUGGUCUGAGAGGAUGAUCAGCCACACUGGAACUGAGACACGGUCCAGACUCCUACGGGAGGCAGCAGUGGGGAAUAUCGGACAAUGGGCGCAAGCCUGAUCCAGCCAUACCGCGUGGGUGAAGAAGGCCUUCGGGUUGUAAAGCCCUUUUGUUGGGAAAGAAAAGCAGCAGGUUAAUACCCCGCUGUUCUGACGGUACCCAAAGAAUAAGCACCGGCUAACUUCGUG
rnacentral:rRNA from 1 species